rnacentral:rRNA from 1 species
AUUGAACGCUGGCGGCAGGCCUAACACAUGCAAGUCGAACGGUAACGGGAAGAAGCUUGCUUCUUUGCUGACGAGUGGGGGACGGGUGAGUAAUGUCUGGGAAACUGCCUGAUGGAGGGGGAUAACUACUGGAAACGGUAGCUAAUACCGCAUAACGUCGCAAGACCAAAGAGGGGGACCUUCGGGCCUCUUGCCAUCGGAUGUGCCCAGAUGGGAUUAGCUAGUAGGUGGGGUAACGGCUCACCUAGGCGACGAUCCCUAGCUGGUCUGAGAGGAUGACCAGCCACACUGGAACUGAGACACGGUCCAGACUCCUACGGGAGGCAGCAGUGGGGAAUAUUGCACAAUGGGCGCAAGCCUGAUGCAGCCAUGCCGCGUGUAUGAAGAAGGCCUUCGGGUUGUAAAGUACUUUCAGCGGGGAGGAAGGGAGUAAAGUUAAUACCUUUGCUCAUUGACGUUACCCGCAGAAGAAGCACCGGCUAACUCCGUG